rnacentral:rRNA from 1 species
UACAGAGGGGGCAAGCGUCGUUCGGAAUUACUGGGCGUAAAGGGCGCGUAGGCGGCCUGUUAAGUCGAACGUGAAAUCCCUGGGCUCAACCCAGGAACUGCGUCCGAUACUGGCAGGCUUGAAUUCGGGAGAGGGAUGCGGAAUUCCAGGUGUAGCGGUGAAAUGCGUAGAUAUCUGGAGGAACACCGGUGGCGAAGGCGGCAUCCUGGACCGAUAUUGACGCUGAGGCGCGAAAGCCAGGGGAGCAAACGGG